rnacentral:rRNA from 1 species
CGAAACGUGGUCUCGGACAGUGUCUGGUGGGUAGUUUGACUGGGGCGGUCUCCUCCCAAAGCGUAACGGAGGAGCACGAAGGUUUGCUAAUCACGGUCGGACAUCGUGAGGUUAGUGCAAUGGUAUAAGCAAGCUUAACUGCGAGACAGACAAGUCGAGCAGGUGCGAAAGCAGGUCAUAGUGAUCCGGUGGUUCUGAAUGGAAGGGCCAUCGCUCAACGGAUAAAAGGUACUCCGGGGAUAACAGGCUGAUACCGCCCAAGAGUUCAUAUCGACGGCGGUGUUUGGCACCUCGAUGUCGGCUCAUCACAUCCUGGGGCUGAAGUAGGUCCCAAGGGUAUGGCUGUUCGCCAUUUAAAGUGGUACGCGAGCUGGGUUUAGAACGUCGUGAGACAGUUCGGUCCCUAUCUGCCGUGGGCGUUGGAGAAUUGAGAGGGGCUGCUCCUAGUACGAGAGGACCGGAGUGGACGCAUCACUGGUGUACCAGUUGUCUCGCCAGAGGCAUUGCUGGGUAGCUAAAUGCGGAAGAGAUAAGUGCUGAAAGCAUCUAAGCACGAAACUCGCCUUAAGAUGAGUUCUCCCUAGCUAUAAGCUAGUAAGGGUUGUUGAAGACUACGACGUAGAUAGGUCUGGUGUGUAAGCGGUGUGAGCCGUUGAGCUAACAGAUACUAAUUGCCCGAGAGGCUUAACUAU